AGCGUAGGCUGUGCGGUAAGUCAGAUGUGAAAUCCCGGGGCUCAACCCCGGAACUGCAUCCGAUACUGCCGUGCUAGAGGAUUGGAGAGGUAGCUGGAAUUCACGGUGUAGCAGUGAAAUGCUAGAUAUCGUGAGGAACACCUAUGGCGAAAGCAAGCUACUGGACAACUCCUGACGCUGAGGCUCGAAGGCCAGGGUAGCGAAAG
rnacentral:rRNA from 1 species